rnacentral:lncRNA from 1 species
UGCACAUUAUGUGACUUUCAUCUUUAUUUUUCUCUUCAUGCAGAAUUGAAAAUGUCAGAGAAACAAACCUGGUUUUCUAACCUGAAGACUGAAUUUGAGAACAGCCCUCUUGUGUCCAGAGCGGCCUUGGGCCUCAUCCUGACUGCCUGUGAGAAGGUAACGGAUGAGGAGUUCGCUUGCCCCUGCAUGUCAGAGUGGAAUGCGCCAUUUGCAGCAGCAUUUUUUGUUGUUCCAGCAGUUCUGAUCUUUGUGCUGAUGAACAUGCGAUGUUGCAAGAGUAAUAAGUGGAAAAAAAAUCUGCUUUUCGGCUUUAUCGAUGCACUGGUGUGGGUCGCCCUGGUGUUCAUGGAUGGCAACUACUUUGUGUGUGCCAUGACAACCUGGUCAGGGGAGUUCAUGACUGAUGUUGAAGGUGCUCCUCAGACAUGGUGCAAGCCCGACAACGAAACCCUAACAAAAGAGCUGAUGAUGCUGUCCCAACGAUGGUAUUCUCUUUCUCAGGGCAUUGGACUGUGGUUCAUCAUGUUCAUCGCUGUGCUGUUGGGAAUAUAUCAGUUCUGCAAAAAAGUAGAAGGAGAGCAAGAGCAAACCCAAGAAGGAUGUGAAUUAACCGCCCAGGACCAGAAAGUUUAAAGAGAAAACGGACACAACUUCAACUACACCGUCCUCCAAAAUUAAAUCAUGUUAGUAUUGACAUGUGUUUUCCCUUGUACAAUACAAGGAAUGUACAUUAAACACUGUAGCGUUCACUAUCACUUUGCUGCUUUUUGACAGUUCCCAAGAACAGAAUGACCUUUUUUGUUCCUUUAUUUGGCAGCAAUUUUUCACACACACACACACACACAUGCACGUGCGUGCGCGCACACACACACACACACACACACACACACACACAGUGUUAGAUACGCACAGGAUUUACAUGACUUGACCAUCAGUGACAAAACUCUCAGUUCAGUGCAGCUCAGGAUAUCCUCUCAACUCAAACCAACCCAUCCUGUUGUUUUGUAUCAGACAGGGUUUUCUUUUCACUGCUGGUUCAGCAACUUUGUAACCUUGUUUUCUCAGUUCUAGUUUGUUGUGACAGUUGGUUCAGCAUAAUGAACCUUUCUAUACUCUACUACAUGAACACACACAUAUCUGAAUCUAUGAUUUCGUUUUAACAAAAGUGAUUAUAAAUUGGAAUGAAAGAGACAUGCCAACCGAAUAUUACAUUCUCCCAAACACAGACUUUUACUCUAUAAUUCACAUUUAACAACAAUCUAAAUAAAAAUAAGAGAGUCACCAAAAUGCAUUAUAAUUGUAUCUAUCAGUGGUAAUUGACUUGAAGUUUAUCACAUCUAAACUUAAGCCCCAAUUUACACUUACAUGUAACUAGCAAGACUUGCACUGUUUUGACAUUAAAUUAAUUCAUAUCAGAGCUUUUUAUCCAUUUCUGCAGGAAAAGGUAAUCCAGCUUUUAAGAUCUACUACAGUGUUUGUUAUUUUCUAAGAUUACAAGUUUUGUACACAGUCAUUAAAGUACCUUCUAGUCUGUCCUUCAGUGUCAUAACUAGCUGACAUGUAGCUGCAUGUGACGUACAGCUCUGUUGUAAAUGAAAGUGUGGAUAAGGCCAUACAAUGUGUGAAAUUCACAUGCUAAUGCUACACAAGAGUCCAUGUGUAGUUGUAGGCAGAACAUAUUUGUGCCUUCUAGUGUCAAGUGAGUGCAAUUAAUAUGAAGUUGAUCAAGGUGGUUAACCUGAACAGAGCAGUACAUUUUUCAUAACAGCGGUGGCCUUGUCCUAAAAUAAAACUAAAUUUUCCGAAAAUUAAAAAAAAACAGACCCACAAAAACCAUAACUGGUAGAAUUUUUUGGACAUAUUAUGACACUGCAUAUAACAUUGUCCUUAUUAGAAGCCUGCACAGUCAUAACCUGCCAAAUAUCUACUUCACAAAAAUGGGAGAAAACACAGCACUAUACAGGUUGUUGAUUGAUCAGUAGCUUUCACAGCAAACUCAACACUUUGCAUAUACUCUCCUAUACUCUCCUAUAUACUCUUCUCCUCUUGUCAUUGAUAUAUCUGCAUGUGAUGACAAUGUCAUAGAGAGAUUUUUGUCCCCUCCCAGAAUAUUUUAUUUGAAUACUUGUCAGGGAAUACAGUUAACAUUUAAAUGCAGAAAGCAUGGAAUAAAGAUUAAUAAAAUAUAAACGUAAUUUUGUGUGUUAGAAAUAUAUUAUUUUCUGUUUUCCUGUCCUAUUAAUGAAAGCACAAAGCCGCAGAUUUAUCUUGGGACUAAAUUCUGUUGGUGGACUUUCAUGGUCAAAGCAGAUGUGGGCUGGGACCAGGUUACGUUGUUAAUAAUGUUCCCCUUCCAUGAACUUGGGUCUCUAGACGAUCUCUACAGCAGCAUGUCUAUGUAGAGAAGAGUGUGGGUGGGCGGCUGCCUCCUGAAAACGACAGUGAUCUCCUUGUUUUGCCGCCAUGAAGGUCCAGAUUGUUGAGGUUACACCAGUCCACCAGAUGUUUCACCUCCUUCCUGUACGCCAGCUCGUCUUUGUCCCCAAUGAGGCCCUUAACUGUUGUGUUGUCUGCAUACUUAAAGAUGUGAUUUGUAUCAAAUCUCACACAACAUUCAUGGGUCAUCAGCGUCAAGAGUAGCGGGCUCAGCACACAGCCAGUGCUCAUUCAGAUAGUGUUGGAGGCGAUCCUUCCCACAGGUAUAGAAUGGGGCCUGCAGAAAGUCCAGUAUCCAGUUGCACAUGGGGGGACUCAGACCCAGUGGACUCAGUUUGCUAACCAGGUGCUGAGGAUAUAUAUAUGUAUGUAUGUAUGUAUGUAUGUAUGUAUGUAUGUAUGUAUGUAUGUAUGUGCAGUGGUAUGCAAAAGUUUGGGCACCCCUUCCAGGAAAAUCACUGCAUCAGUUUGUCACUUGCUGAGCAUUUGAAGCAGCAACUUCAUUUUAACAUAUGUUAUACCUUUUGGAAACAGAAACAUCCCAGUAGUGAAAUCAUUUUCAUUGGUCCAACAGAAACAUUUGUAUGUGAAUUUAAACAAAAAUAGGCACGUGCAUAAACUUGGGCACCCAAAAGAAAAUUUUCUAUUAAUAUUUAGUUAUUGACUGUUCUUGUGGAUGAAUGCAAUUAAAAGGGUGCCCAAACAUUUGUAGAUCCCAGUUUUUGCAUUUUAUUAUAUUAUAUUAAAACUAUGUAAUGCCACUCUAAGAAUUUCAGGUUUGGAAAACACUCAAAUGUCUACAUCUCUGUAGGAAAACAAAUCUUGUUGCUGUGAUCUUCUCUUAUAAAGGUAGAGCAAAUUAUCAUGAAAUCUCAGUGGGGUUUCCAAACUUUUACAUACCACUCUAUGUAUGUAUUGCAUACUGGUGAAGUGGUUAUCACUCUUAGUAGCUACUCAUAUUAAUGUACCUACUAACUAAAAAUCAGCUAAAAAAGAGACGUGAAAGGACAAGUAAAGGUAAAUACAAGUUAUUUGUACAAGCUAUCUCUACAUAGCAUUGUUUGUAUUACCCUGCUAUUAUUAUGGAAAACACAAUAAUUCUUUUUAGUGCAAUUUUCAAAUUGUUGGAUCUGUUUUCACGCAAACAGUAUUGUGUAUCAUACUGUUAUGCACUAGUACAAGACACGAUGUGUUAUCUUUUGUCACCUACAAGCUUGUUGCAGGUGAUGUGGCAAAUUGCUUUGCAACUGCAGAAAAUGGAUUUAAUGCAGAGUACCAGUUUCACCCCGGUGGCGGCUUUUGGAAAAGGAGGAAUAUUACGCCUCCCUUUUAGAAAGACAGGGCUCUUUGCCGCCCUGUGCUGCCUUUUCUAUCUAAAAAGGGGUUAUGUUGUACAUUGUAUGAAAGAUUAUUAUAUGUAUGUAUGUACAAGCCUUUAUGCAUGAAAGUAUGCAUGUAUGUGCAAGCCCUUAGUACCAGUGAAGUAUUCCAUUUUGGCCUAGAUGGCCUCUAAAAUGUUUUGUGCUGUUCCUGAAGUUGGGUAAACACAAUGGUGACAGAAAAUGUUUUAUCACACACCCUGUUAUCAUGUUGUAAUUAGA